UUGAGUAUGGAGAUGGAGUAGUAGUAGUAAAAUAAGUAUGUCAAGAAAUGUUAACUUAUAAAGGAUAUAAUUUGCUAAUUUCAAUUUAGGGUUAUGAGUUUUUGUUGAUCAGGAGUUAGUAAUUGGGGUUGGGUUUUAUUUUUCUUACAUUUUUCUUCUCUCACAAUACCCUCAUGAAUCUUGUCUACAUGCACUGCACUACUUUUUACUGUGUAAAUCACAGUUUCAGUGUUGACAAUGCCUUGAUAAUUUAUACCAAACAAAUUGACAUGUAUGCUCAAUUUGAUUCCCAUUUCAUGAUAUAAUAUCUGGGUUGAGGUCUUGCACUUAUUAAUUCUGAUUAUGAUUGAAUGUAAUGGUAUAAACCUCAUAUACUGAACUAUAUUAAUGUAUGACUGGAGAAAAAAAUUGGCAGGACAUUUCAAUUUAGGCGAAUGGCUACGCCCGCGGUGGUCACGGUGGUCACGGAUAUUCACUGUACAGUUGUUGAUACGAAAAAACAACGAGUUAGGUGCAAUUAUUGUGAAAAGGAGAUAGCUGGUCGAACUCGUCUUAGGCAACACUUGGGAGGAAUUGGUAAAGAUGUAUCACAUUGUCUCAAAGUUCCAGAGGAUGUGAAGGUACAAAUGAAAAAUGUCGUAAUUGAAGGAAGGAAAGCAUAUGGGAACAACACUAAAUUUCUUAAAUCGCUCGAAUCACAUGCUCUAUCGAAGACGAAGUCCGGGUCCAACGACCCCCAUAAGCAAAAAGGAAACCAUGUUUCCAGUCAAACCAGUGUGUCAAGGAAGAGAAACCAGUGCACUAUAAUCGAGUCUGGAUUAAAAAAGAAAGAUGAGGGGUGGAUUCUGCAAGAAGAACUGAGAGCAAUACAAGAGCAUGUGCGAGAAGUUGUGCAUUCAUGGGGAAGCACUGGAUGUAGUAUUUUGUUGGAUGGGUGGAUCGAUAGGAAAGGGAGAAAUUUUAUUAAUUUUGUGGUUGAUAGCCCACGGGGUCCCAUAUUUGUGAAGUCCGCUGAUGUGUCAGAUAUUAUAGGAGAUGUGGUUGCCAUGAUCACAUUGUUAAGUGGUGUUAUUGAGGAGGUCGGGGUACAGAAUAUUGUUCAAAUAAUCUCAUAUACUACUCUUGGUUCACUGAACGCAGUGGGCAAAAAGUUAACGGAGAAAUACGGGACUAUAUCUUGGACUGUUUGUGCAUCUCACUGCAUAGGCCUCAUCUUGGAUAAGAUAGGAAUGUUGGAUCCUUGGAGAGGUGUACUUGAUAAGGCAAAGGAAAUUACUAAGUUCAUUUACACCCAUGAGACAGUUUUGAAGAUUAUGAAGAAACACACUUCUGGUGAGGAGCUAGCCAGUUCCAGGAGGAUUAGGUCACUGACGCCAUUUCUAAUACUGGAGAGAAUCGAGUAUCAAAAGAAUAAUUUAAAGAUCAUGUUUAGUUCGUUAGAAUGGAAGAGCUCAGCCCUAGCUUCAACAGCUGAUGGAACGCAUGUGACUGAUUUAGUCACUGGAGAGUCGUCUUUCUGGACUGGAGCCCAUAUGCUUUUGAGGCGAUAAAAGAGAAGUAUAAAGACCAGAAGAUCAAAUAUCAGCCUUUCUGGACAGCAAUUGAUGGAAUAACCAACUCCAUAGCCCUAUCCAUUCUGCUGCCUUCUUUUUAAAUCCAGGUCUCUUUUACUCUAAAGAUUUCAAUGAAGAUGAUGAGAUUAAGGAAGGGCUUACAGACUGCAUCGAGCGAAUGGUAGAGGAUAAACGUGCUCGGUAUUUAAUAUUAUUAAAGUUGGAUGAUUAUAUAGUGGCUCGUGGUUCUUUUGGCAAGGGAGAUGCUAUUGAUCAAAGAAUGACGCUUUCUCCAGAGAAGUGGUGGUACUUGUAUGGAGGUGAAUGCCCUGAACUGCAAAAUUUUGCUAUAAGAAUUUUAAGUCAGACGUGUACUGGUGCCUUAAGAUAUGGUCUGAGAAGGAGUCUAUCUGAGCAACUACAUACAAAUGGAAGGAACUGUAUAGAGCAAAAACAGUUGACAGACCUCACAUUUGUACAUCAUAAUCUUCGGUUGCAAAAUCCUGUGUCUAUUUCAAGCACAGAUUACAGAGAUAUAUUUCUUGAAGAGAUUGAUCCAUUGGAUGAAUGGGUUGGUGGAGGAGACGUGAAAGAGUCAACAGGUGAACAUGAUGGUGAUUAGAUUAAGGUAUACCGUAUUUGAAUCUUUAGUAGACAAAAGCUUGUGGUAGUAUAUGUAGAUAAUUAGUCUGAAAAUAUUUAACAGGAAUGGAAUUUAAUAAAUUGUAUCUAAGGAGUCAGUUCAGGAGAUGCCACUCCUUGGCCUACCUUGUUCUAUUUUGCAGCUUGUGCUUCAAUGGGGGCGUCGAGAUGUUUCGUGGUAUUUGAAAGGUUUUGCGGGAGUUGAUGCUAUCUGCCUUGCUUUGGACAUUGUGGAAGGAGAGAAAUGAUCUAAUUUACUCGGGGAAGUCUGCUACACCGGAAGUGUUAUCUCGAAGGGUUAAGUUGUUAGCGUUCCAGUGGAUUAAGGUUUAUCAUCCUGAGGUAAUUGUAACUUCUGUGAUUUUCUGUACAGUUGGAAUUCCCUCCACAGAUGGGAUCCUCCUUGAUUGCUUGUUUUCUUUCGAUGUCUGGCUUCCUAACUACCUGCGCCUAGCUACUAAUGUACAGUGUAUCCAUUUUUAAUCCAUCUCAAUUUUUUACU